rnacentral:rRNA from 1 species
UCAGGGCCGGAAAGCUCUCCAAACUCGGUCAUUUAGAGGAAGUAAAAGUCGUAACAAGGUCUCCGUUGGUGAACCAGCGGAGGGAUCAUUA